CCCUUAGAUGUUCUGGGCCGCACGCGCGCUACACUGAAGGGAUCAGCGUGUUUUCCCUUCCCGAGAGGGACGGGUAACCCGCUGAACCCCCUUCGUGGUAGGGAUCGGAGCUUGCAAUUGUUCUCCGUGAACCAGGAAUUCCCAGUAAGCGCAAGUCAUAAGCUUGCGUUGAUUACGUCCCUGCCCUUUGUACACACCGCUCGUCGCUACUACCGAUUGAACGUUUUAGUGAGGUAUUUGGACUGGGCCUUGGGAGGUUUCGGCCUCCCUUGUUGCUCGGAAAGACUCCCAAACUUGAGCGUUUAGAGGAAGUAAAAGUCGUAACA
rnacentral:rRNA from 1 species